rnacentral:lncRNA from 1 species
CGAGCGAGAGAGAGAGAGGAGAGCGCAAGAUCAAGAGAGAGGCGAAAGAGCGAGAGAGAGGCGAGGGAGCGAGAGAGAGCGAGAAACAGAGAUAGCGAAAGGGAGCUGUGCGGGAGAGAGAAGUGUUGUAGCGUUUGGUUUGGGUUAGCUUUAGCAAAAAGUAAAAAGGGGAUGAGCUUAGAAGCUACUGUGCUAGUGGAUUAAUAUAAGCUGUUGGAUCCCAAGGGUGUAGGAUGUACACCUUCUACCGGGAGUCCAGCUAGACUUUUCCAUAUCUAAAGUGUUUGGGAGAAGAUAUGGUAAGUA